rnacentral:rRNA from 1 species
AAUAGAUACCCCGGUAGUCCUAGCUGUAAACGAUGAGCACUGGGUUGAGGGGACUUCCACAUCCCCUCGGCCGUAGCGAAAGCGUUAAGUGCUCCGCCUGGGGAGUAUGGCCGCAAGGCUGAAACUCAAAGGAAUUGACGGGGGCUCACACAAGCGGUGGAGGAUGUGGCUUAAUUCGAGGCUACGCGAAGAACCUUAUCCUAGAUUUGACAUGGUUGAGAAUCUCCUUGAAAGAGGAGAGUGCCCUUCGGGGAGCUCUUUCACAGGUGCUGCAUGGCUGUCGUCAGCUCGUGUCGUGAGAUGUUGGGUUAAGUCCCUUAACGAGCGAAACCCUUAUCUUUAGUUGCCAGCGGGUAAUGCCGGGGACUCUAAAGAGACUGCCGGUGUCAAACCGGAGGAAGGUGGGGAUGACGUCAAGUCCUCAUGGCCUUUAUGUCUAGGGCUGCACACGUCCUACAAUGGCACGUACAAAGGGAAGCCAAGCCGCGAGGCCGCGCUAAUCCCAAAAAGCGUGCCCCAGUUCGGAUUGCAGGCUGC